CAAUAGCGUAUAUUAAAGUUGUUGCAGUUAAAAAGCUCGUAGUUGGACCUUGGACCUGGACAGGCGGUCCGCCUCACGGCGUGUACUGUCUUGCUGGGUCUUUCCUCUUGGUGAUCUGUUGUUUCGGCAGCAGGGAACCAGGACUUUUACUUUGAAAAAAUUAGAGUGUUCAAAGCAGGCUCGACGCCGGAAUAUAUUAGCAUGGAAUAAUAAAAUAGGACGUGCGGUUCUAUUUUGUUGGUUUUUGGAAUCGCCGUAAUGAUUAAUAGGGACAGUCGGGGGCAUUAGUACUCACAUGCUAGAGGUGAAAUUCUUGGAUUUUGUGAGGACUAACUUCUGCGAAAGCAUUUGCCAAGGAUGUUUUCAUUAA
rnacentral:rRNA from 1 species